UCUUAUGGAUGAGCAAAUAAAGUGGUUUUCUGAGAUGGAAUCUACUCUUGGUGAAGAUGCCGUAAGAU
rnacentral:pre_miRNA from 1 species